rnacentral:rRNA from 1 species
CCCUUAGACGUUCUGGGCCGCACGCGCGCUACACUGACCAGUGCAACAAGCAUCCGUCCUUGGCCGACAGGCCCGGGCAAUCUUUGAACGCUGGUCGUGAUGGGGAUAGACUUUUGCAAUUUUUGGUCUUCAACGAGGAAUUCCUAGUAAACGCAAGUCAUCAACUUGCAUUGAUUACGUCCCUGCCCUUUGUACACACCGCCCGUCGCACCUUCCGAUUGAAUGGUCCGGUGAAGCCUCCGGAUUGGCGCGCACCUCGGUGCCGCCGAGAAGUUGGCUAAACCUUACCAUUUAGAGGAAGGUGAAGUCGUAACA